rnacentral:lncRNA from 1 species
CAGGACUUGAGUUCAAGGUCACAGGGAGGAACCUCUAGUGGACCCAAGAACAGGACUCCAGAAAGGACCUCCCUGAGGCUCACACCCUGCACCUUUCUGCAGAGGUCUUUUCCUCUCCCUCUGCAGGGUCAUGCUUUUUUGAGCUUCUCUGUGCACAGGGUUGCCCCUUAGAAGUGACUGACCCCCUUACCUUUGCACAGCUAGGUAGGACAAGCAUUGUCCCCGCCAAACUAGGAUACCAGACGUCUAAGUUCCCGCCAGCAGCUUGACUUGUGGAUUGAUGCUUUGCCAUCACCGUCUUCAAAUUAUAUUUAUUUAUUUAUUUAUUUUUGGUACCAGCACUUGAAC